rnacentral:rRNA from 1 species
GACGAACGCUGGCGGCGUGCUUAACACAUGCAAGUCGAGCGGUAAGGCCCUUUCGGGGUACACGAGCGCGAACGGGUGAGUAACACGUGGGUGACCUGCCCUCAGCUCUGGGAUAAGCCGUGGGAAACCGGUCUAAUACCGGAUAUGACUCCAUGACGCAUGUUGUGGGGUGAAAGCCUUGUGCGGCUGAGGAGUGGGCCCGCGGCCUAUCAGCUUGUUGGUGGGGUGAUCGGCCUACCAAGGCGACGACGGGUAGCCGGCCUGAGAGGGCGACCGG